GCCCACGUAGCUCAGUCGGUAGAGCGCAUCCUUGGUAAGGAUGAGGUCGGCAGUUCAAAUCUGCUCGUGGGCUCCA
rnacentral:tRNA from 2 species